rnacentral:rRNA from 1 species
AUUGAACGCUGGCGGCAUGCCUUACACAUGCAAGUCGAACGGCAGCGGGGACUUCGGUCCGCCGGCGAGUGGCGAACGGGGGAGUAAUGUAUCGGAACGUACCAUUCAGUGGGGGAUAACUAUCCGAAAGGAUAGCUAAUACCGCAUAUUCUGUGAGCAGGAAAGCAGGGGAUCGCAAGACCUUGCGCUGAUUUAGCGGCCGAUAUCAGAUUAGCUAGUUGGUGAGGUAAAGGCCCACCAAGGCUACGAUCUGUAGCGGGUCUGAGAGGAUGAUCCGCCACACAGGGACUGAGACACGGCCCAGACUCCUACGGGAGGCAGCAGUGGGGAAUUUUGGACAAUGGGCGCAAGCCUGAUCCAGCCAUGCCGCGUGAGUGAAGAAGGCCUUCGGGUUGUAAAGCUCUUUCGGCCGGGAAGAAAUCGCAUCAGCUAAUACCUGGUGUGGAUGACGGUACCGGAAUAAGAAGCACCGGCUAACUACGUGCCAGCCGCCGCAGUAACAC